CCUCCUUCUGCAUCACAGCCGCCCCCUCCCCCAAAAGCACACAACUCUCAAAUCUCAUUCUCUCACACUCUCGUCCAUCACUAGCCAGACCCCCCCAAAGCACACAACUCUCAAAUCUCAAUCUCUCACACUCUCGUCCAUCACUAAUGGCCAGAUCUAGACUUCUAGUCAUCUAACAAAACUUCAACAUAGCUUCAAUCUUCAUCUUCAAGGCUUCAGUAAUUGGGCAUGAAAGUUCUCAUAAAGCUUAUGAUGACAGAUUCAUCUUCAUGGCUUCAGUGAUCUUCAUCUUCAAGGAAACCAUUCUCCUUGCAACUCUUUGCUGUCUUACCAGAACUCUAUAAUAUGCAGUCCCAUGAUAGUUUUCAUGAAGCUUAUGAUGACAGAUUUGUUGUUUGUUGAGUAAUUGAGCUUUUGAAAUUGUGGGGUUUGUAGGGAAGAACAAGAACGAAGCUGGAGAAGCUAUAGAGAAGAUUGUUAAAAAAACCCGGUCGGUUUGAAUAUAGGUUUUUCCUGUUUUUAUAUUAAAAAAACCGAACCGGACCGAACCGAAACCGGUCGGUUUGAACCGAUUCCGGUUCGGUUCCGGUUCAAAUUUUUCAGUUUUUUAAAAUUUUAUUUUGGUUAUUUUUUAAGGUAAAAACCGAACUUUGCACAUUUUAUGCUCUUGUUCAUUACCGUUGUGUGUUGCCGAGUUUGCUAAGGGGGUUGCUCCAGUGGCUAAUCAGUGUUAAAGUUGCUAAUUGAAGCAGGAGCAUUGAAUUAAUGAUUCAAUAAACCUGAUCAAUCAUAUUAGCUUUUUUUAAUUUUUUUCUAUCUUUUUAAUUUUAUUUUAUGGAUCAUCUAAUGUAUUUCAUUUGACAAUUG
rnacentral:lncRNA from 1 species